rnacentral:rRNA from 1 species
UACGUAGGGUGCGAGCGUUAAUCGGAAUUACUGGGCGUAAAGCGUGCGCAGGCGGUUCGUCGUGUCCGAUGUGAAAGCCCCGGGCUCAACCUGGGAAUGGCAUUGGAAACUGGCGGACUCGAGUGUGGCAGAGGGGGGUGGAAUUCCGCGUGUAGCAGUGAAAUGCGUAGAUAUUCGGAGGAACACCAGUGGCGAAGGCGGCUCACUGGUCCAUUACUGACGCUGAGGUGCGAAAGCGUGGGGAGCAAACAGG